UACAGAGGGGGACAGUGAUCUGGGAGAUUAGUUCCGUUAUCCCUCUGAUGUUGAUUCUUAUCUGUAUGUUUAUGUUGUUUUUUGCCUGUUUGAGCAUGUUUUAAUUUCUUUUGGAUACUCCCACUUU